rnacentral:rRNA from 1 species
GUGAGGAAUAUUGGACAAUGGAUGGAAAUCUGAUCCAGCCAUGCCGCGUGCAGGAAGGCGGCCCUAUGGGUUGUAAACUGCUUUUGUACGGGAGCAAUAAGGUCUACGAGUAGAUUGAUGAGAGUACUGUACGAAUAAGCAUCGGCUAACUCCGUGCCAGCAGCCGCGGUAAUACGGAGGAUGCGAGCGUUAUCCGGAUUUAUUGGGUUUAAAGGGUGCGUAGGCUGUUAUGUAAGUCAGUGGUAAAAGGUACAGGCUUAACUUGUAUAUGCCAUUGAAACUGUAUAGCUAGGAUAUGGAUGAAGUGUGCGGAAUGUGUGGUGUAGCGGUGAAAUGCAUAGAUAUCACACAGAACACCGAUAGCGAAGGCAGCACACUAAGGCAAUAUUGACGCUGAGAUGCGAAAGCCAGGGUAGCGAACGGGAUUAGAAACCCUGGUAGUCC